CGUUGCGAUCAUACCAGCACUAAUGCACCGGAUCCCAUCAGAACUCCGCAGUUAAGCGUGCUUGGGCGAGAGUAGUACUAGGAUGGGUGACCCCUUGGGAAGUCCUCGUGUUGCAACCC
rnacentral:rRNA from 1 species